rnacentral:rRNA from 1 species
AUGGCCGAGUGGUCUAAGGCGCCAGACUCAAGUUCUGGUCCUCUAACGAGGGCGUGGGUUCAAACCCCACUUCUGACAAUAAUUUUUGCUUUUUUCCUUGCUUAA